GACGAACGCUGGCGGCGUGCCUAACACAUGCAAGUCGAACGGAAAGGCCCUGCUUUUGUGCGGUGCUCGAGUGGCGAACGGGUGAGUAACACGUGAGUAACCUGUCCUUGACUGUGGGAUAACUUCAGGAAACUGGGGCUAUUACCGGAUAGGAGCUCUUGCUGCAUGGUGGGGGUUGGUUAGUUUCGGCGGUUGGGGAUGGACUCGCGGCGUAUCGGCUCGUUGGUGGGGUAGUGGCUUACCAAGGCUUUGACGGGUAGCCGACCUGAGAGGGGAACCGGCCCCAUUAGGACUGGAAUACGACCCAGACUCCAACGGGAGGCAACGGUGGAGAGUAUUACACAGUAGGCGGGAGCCUGAUGCGGCAACGCCGCGUGCGGGAAGACGGGCUUCGGGUUGUAAACCACUGUCGCCUGAGACGAGGCGUGAGUGACGGUAAUGGGUAAAGAAGCACCGGCUAACUACGUG
rnacentral:rRNA from 1 species